CAGGACUAUCCUCACCCCUUUUUCCAGCGUUGUAUCUUCAGUCACUGGGAGAGAUCAACAGUUACUGGGAAAGCAUCUCCAUGGAGGGAAUAACAAACUACUUUGAAAAGUUUUCCUUCAGCUACUCAAGGCCAAGUACUCUGCAAAAUGUCCUAAACACAUCGGUGGCAAGUAUUUUCCGUCAAAUUGAACAAUUACUCAAAUUCCACUAACAGGCGGCACAAAAAUGGAUGAUCUUUUGCCAAUGACUUUAAAUCUCUAGCCCCAGGACAUAGACAUACCUGACGUAACAAUAGAUAAGAUAAAGGAAGACCAUUCUAUCUGCUUACAAGUUCCUGUUUACUUCUAUUUGCAAAUGUUCCUUUAUAAUUUUCCUGAUUUGUAAUGUCUAACAGUCCUGCCUUACAUAAGUCAG